GACGAACGCUGGCGGCGUGCUUAACACAUGCAAGUCGAACGGAAAGGCCCUGCUUUUGUGGGGUGCUCGAGUGGCGAACGGGUGUGUAACACGUGAGUAUCCUGCCCUUGACUUUGGGAUAACUUCAGGAAACUGGGGCUAAUACCGGAUAGGAGCUACUGCUGCACGGUGGGGGUUGGAAAGUUUCGGCGGUUGGGGAUGGACUCGCGGCUUAUCAGCUUGUUGGUGGGGUAGUGGCUUACCAAGGCUUUGACGGGUAGCCGGCCUGAGAGGGUGACCGGCCACAUUGGGACUGAGAGACGGCCGAGGCUGCUACGGGAGGGAGCAGUGGGGAAUCUUGCACAAGGGGCGGAGGCCUGAUGCAGCAACGCCGCGGGCGGGAAGACGGCCUUCGGGUUGUAGACCGCUUUCGCCUGUGACGAAGCGUGAGUGACGGUAAUGGGUAAAGAAGCACCGGCUAACUACGUG
rnacentral:rRNA from 1 species